GGAAAUAAAAUAAGCUAAUAUACAAGUGGCAAGGGAAGAGAAGAAACAGCAAGUGACAAAGGGAGGAAAGGACGUCUCUGGCUGGUGUGAAGAUGGGGGAAACUGGGGCUUUGAGGGAUACAAGCAUCGUUUCUUCUGCUAUAGGCUUGGUAUUGUUGACUGAAUCUGCCCAAAGGACCCAGAGAACUCCUGUGGCAGACCCGGGAGCAUGGUGUGGAAAGACCUCACUGAUGUGUGCUUACAUGUGGUUGGAUUGGAACCUUCCCUCUCUACUCUGAAGCUUCCCUGAAGGUUCUUGAUGAGAAGUUUGUCAACCUCUAGAUUACCCGGAAAAGAAACUUUAAGUUGGGUCAACUGGCUCUCUGAGUAUAAUGCAUGGAGCGAGCCACUUAACCUCUCCGAGGGUCGGUUACUUUGUAAAAUAGGGUUCAGCCUUGCCGGUCUACUGUAGGAUUAUGAAUAUUACAGUAAGAUGAAUAAAUGAUAGCCCCUGACAU
rnacentral:lncRNA from 1 species